CCUACGGGUGGCAGCAGUCGAGAAUCAUUCACAAUGGGGGAAACCCUGAUGGUGCGACGCCGCGUGGGGGAAUGAAGGUCUUCGGAUUGUAAACCCCUGUCAUGUGGGAGCAAAUUAAAAAGAUAGUACCACAAGAGGAAGAGACGGCUAACUCUGUGCCAGCAGCCGCGGUAAUACAGAGGUCUCAAGCGUUGUUCGGAAUCACUGGGCGUAAGGCGUGCGUAGGCUGUUUCGUAAGUCGGGUGUGAAAGGCGCGGGCUCAACCCGCGGACGGCACAUGAUCCUGCGAGACUAGAGUAAUGGAGGGGGAACCGGAAUUCUCGGUGUAGCAGUGAAAUGCGUAGAUAUCGAGAGGAACACUCGUGGCGAAGGCGGGUUCCUGGACAUUAACUGACGCUGAGGCACGAAGGCCAGGGGAGCGAAAGGGAUUAGAUACCCCAGUAGUC
rnacentral:rRNA from 1 species